rnacentral:rRNA from 1 species
UACGUAGGGUGCAAGCGUUGUCCGGAAUUAUUGGGCGUAAAGAGCUCGUAGGCGGUCUGUUGCGUCUGCUGUGAAAACUCGGGGCUUAACCCCGGGCCUGCAGUGGGUACGGUCAGACUAGAGUGCGGUAGGGGAGACUGGAAUUCCUGGUGUAGCGGUGAAAUGCGCAGAUAUCAGGAGGAACACCGGUGGCGAAGGCGGGUCUCUGGGCCGAUACUGACGCUGAGGAGCGAAAGCGUGGGGAGCGAACAGG